UCAGACCCCCCGGGGAGCAGCAGAGAUCAGCUGUGACCAGAUGGCCCGUACCACCCAGAGCCCCUACCCCAACCGCAGCAUCCCCAUCCCAGCAGGACGUGGGGUCCAGACAGCACGUCGACCUCUGACAUGUACACUGCGUAGUGUUCUGAAGGUACCAGGUGGAAAGCAGGGGCAGCUUGGGUCCUAGAGACCAAGCGAGAGAGGGUGACGUCAAUGCUAAGGAUGCCAAGCCAAAGCUGAAGGAAAAGGUCAGUCAACCGUAGUAACAAAUGUGUAAACCAAAACAAUGGGCAACAUCACACAUUAGCCCUUAUGCCAUGAAGUUACACAGUAACUUCUUUGAUCACCAGAAUG
rnacentral:lncRNA from 1 species